UAACCUGCCUGGUAGCGGGGGAUAACUAUUGGAAACGAUAGCUAAUACCGCAUAACAGUAGAUAUCGCAUGAUAGCUGCUUAAAAGGUGCAAUUGCACCACUACCAGAUGGACCUGCGUUGUAUUAGCUAGUUGGUGAGGUAACGGCUCACCAAGGCCACGAUACAUAGCCGACCUGAGAGGGUGAUCGGCCACACUGGGACUGAGACACGGCCCAG
rnacentral:rRNA from 1 species